ensembl:lncRNA
CCCAUCCAUGCCUUCCAACUUGAGUUAACUGCAGCCUGCAGGCCCCCUGCGUGGCCUUGUCUCCUGGGCCCACGCGUCCCCAGGGCUCAAGCGCAGGGCACGAGGGUGCAACAGCGCCAACGAGUCACGUGCAAGGCUGUUUGUCUUCCAGCGCACGCAGGCCUGCACCGCUGGCCUCAACUUCUCAGCCGCAGCUUCAUUCCGGAGCCCCGGAGCCCACAGGUCACGGUCCGAGGGCUUCUCCCCGUUCUGGGGCCCAGCACGUCCUCCCAAGUCAGCCUCUGCGCGCCCCUGAGGGUGACCCCGCUGCCGGAAGGCUGCAGCCCCGCGCAGGGGCAGUGGUGGCUCGGGGGGCCGGGCUCCCGCCGUUGCACACGCAGCACUCGCGGUGCUCGGUGCACCCAGAGGUCGGCGGAGCCCGGCCGCGCGCUGCGGCGCUUGCGCAUCAGGUCCCACCUGCGCAGCGGCUUCCCGCACCUGCGCAGCGGCUUCCCGCACCCGCAGCCUGACCCGGCGCGCGACGACUUCUCCGGGUUCGACUCCGACCGACUCCUCGGUCUUAGGAGUUGGCCGCGGCGUCCAGGAGCCCGGCAGCGCCUUGUCCUCGUCCUUGCUUGCGGGGCCUGCGGUGGUCCUGCUGGGGCAUCCUCUGGGCCAUUCCCUGAAGCGGCCGGGGGCGGGGGNNNNNNNNNNNNNNNNNNNNNNNNNNNNNNNNNNNNNNNNNNNNNNNNNNNNNNNNNNNNNNNNNNNNNNNNNNNNNNNNNNNNNNNNNNNUCACCGCGCUGUGGCUGCUGCAGCUGUUCCUGCUGCUCAGGCCCGGGCACCCGCCUGCCCGCCGUCCUCCUUCUAUGCGGGGCCGUCUCCUCCCGGCACGAAGCGUAUCAGGAUGGCCUCAUGCUCCUCCAGGCCUCCAGAGAACUGUCUUAUUUGUCCCCUUUGAAGACAAAUGUUCUUGAGCACUGGUUGAACUAGAUUUUCAGGCCAGGUCAAGGCCCAGUUCUUGGUGGUGCUAUCUUACUGCCACCUAUUCCAUGGCACACCCUCCAGAUAAGUCCCUUUGUCCAGUUACCAGCUACUGGUUUAGGUACAUCUGUCCCAUGAAUUAGUUGGGUAUCAUAGUAUCUUAAAGUCUCCUGAAAACUCUCUAAUAAUGUGUUUAAUUUCUCAGUAAUUUUCUUUCAUUGGCCUCUUUUUAUUAAAAGCUAGACAUAUAAUGGAUGCAUAACUUACUUUUGGCUUCCUAAUAUUCAUUGUUUGACUUGGCCAUCAACAUAUUGAAGGAAGAUAUUAAUUAAAACAGCCAGAUUGUGUUGACCUAAAAAAUACCAAAAGGAUUUUGAAUAACUUUCUGGUGUCCAUCUCUAAAUAAUUGAGAAGGAAAAGAUAGCUUUAUUGUGUGAAACCCUUUCAGAAGCAGAGGUCAUCUGGUGACCUCUUUUAGCUAUAUGACCUCUUGACACCAUGAUUUAUGAGUUGUCUUGGGUCUAUUUAAGUUGUUGGAUGUAACAUAUAAAUACGUAUCUAGCUAAUACAUCAGUCAUUUGCAUCCUCUGGGCCAAUUUUCUGUUGAAAACUGCCACAUUUAACGUAAUGACUUGAAAAUUAAAUGUAAAUAUAAUAAUUGAAAUAUAUCAAAUACUUAGUAGAGUGUGGCUUUAUAAAAUGAUUUUAAUUUAAUCUCUCAUCUUAUUAAAACUUUUUAUUGUGAAAAAUUUCAAACAUACGUAAAAGUAGGAGAAAUGGCAUAAUGAAAUCCAUUGUUCAGCUUCAAUAAUUAUCAGCAUAUUGUUAUACUUGUUUUAUCUGUAUAUCCCCACCUGAUCCCAUGGUGUUUUUUUUUUUAUUAUACUUUUAUUUAGGUAUAGUACAAUACAUACAUACAAUAAAAAUCACCCAUUGUAAGUGAAUGCA